GAUGAACGCUGGCGGCGUGCCUAAUACAUGCAAGUCGAGCGAACAGAUAAGGAGCUUGCUCCUUUGACGUUAGCGGCGGACGGGUGAGUAACACGUGUAUAACCUACCUAUAAGACUGGGAUAACUUCGGGAAACCGGAGCUAAUACCGGAUAACAUAUUGAACCGCAUGGUUCAAUAGUGAAAGGCGGCUUUGCUGUCACUUAUAGAUGGAUCCGCGCCGUAUUAGCUAGUUGGUAAGGUAACGGCUUACCAAGGCAACGAUACGUAGCCGACCUGAGAGGGUGAUCGGCCACACUGGAACUGAGACACGGUCCAGACUCCUACGGGAGGCAGCAGUAGGGAAUCUUCCGCAAUGGGCGAAAGCCUGACGGAGCAACGCCGCGUGAGUGAUGAAGGUCUUCGGAUCGUAAAACUCUGUUAUCAGGGAAGAACAAAUGUGUAAGUAACUGUGCACAUCUUGACGGUACCUGAUCAGAAAGCCACGGCUAACUACGUG
rnacentral:rRNA from 1 species